GGGGGGAGCAAGCGUUGUUCGGAUUUACUGGGCGUAAAGGGCGGGUAGGCGGCCACUGCAAGUCGGUUGUGAAAUCUCCGGGCUUAACUCGGAAAGGUCAAUCGAUACUGCAGGGCUAGAGUGCAGAAGGGGCAACUGGAAUUCUCGGUGUAGCGGUGAAAUGCGUAGAUAUCGAGAGGAACACCUGCGGCGAAGGCGGGUUGCUGGGCUGACACUGACGCUGAACUGCGAAAGCUAGGGGAGCGAACGGGAUUAGAUACCCCGGUAGUCCUAGCCUUAAACGAUGAAUGCUUGGUGUCUGGGGUUUUAUAGUCCCCGGGUGCCGUCGCUAACGCUUUAAGCAUUCCGCCUGGGGAGUACGGUCGCAAGACUG
rnacentral:rRNA from 1 species